CGUAGGCGGUAUGAUAAGUCAGAUGUGAAAGCCCGGGGCUCAACCCCGGAAGUGCAUUUGAAACUGUUGUGCUUGAGUAUGGUAGAGGGAAGUGGAAUUCCUGGUGUAGCGGUGAAAUGCGUAGAUAUCAGGAGGAACACCGGUGGCGAAGGCGACUUCCUGGACCAAUACUGACGCUGAGGCGCGAAGGUGUGGGGAGCAAACA
rnacentral:rRNA from 1 species